GACGAACGCUGGCGGCGUGCUUAACACAUGCAAGUCGAGCGGAAAGGCCCUUUCGGGGGUACUCGAGCGGCGAACGGGUGAGUAACACGUGAGUAAUCUGCCCUGCGCUCUGGGAUAGCCACCGGAAACGGUGAUUAAUACCGGAUAGGACCACUUCACGCAUGUGAUGGUGGUGGAAAGUUUUUUCGGCGCAGGAUGUGCUCGCGGCCUAUCAGCUUGUUGGUGAGGUAACGGCUCACCAAGGCUUUGACGGGUAACCGGCCUGAGAGGGUGACCGGUCACACUGGGACUGAGACACGGCCCAGACUCCUACGGGAGGCAGCAGUGGGGAAUAUUGGACAAUGGGCGGAAGCCUGAUCCAGCAACGCCGCGUGAGGGAUGACGGCCUUCGGGUUGUAAACCUCUUUCAGUACCGACGAAGCGAAAGUGACGGUAGGUACAGAAGAAGGACCGGCCAACUACGUGCCAGCAGCCGCGGUAAUACGUAGGGUCCGAGCGUUGUCCGGAAUUAUUGGGCGUAAAGGGCUCGUAGGCGGUUUGUCGCGUCGGGAGUGAAAACACCGGGCUUAACUCGGUGCUUGCUUUCGAUACGGGCAGACUAGAGGUAUGCAGGGGAGAAUGGAAUUCCUGGUGUAGCGGUGAAAUGCGCAGAUAUCAGGAGGAACACCGGUGGCGAAGGCGGUUCUCUGGGCAUUACCUGACGCUGAGGAGCGAA
rnacentral:rRNA from 1 species